AUUGAACGCUGGCGGCAGGCCUAACACAUGCAAGUCGAACGGUAACAGGAAGCAGCUUGCUGCUUUGCUGACGAGUGGCGGACGGGUGAGUAAUGUCUGGGAAACUGCCUGAUGGAGGGGGAUAACUACUGGAAACGGUAGCUAAUACCGCAUAACGUCGCAAGACCAAAGAGGGGGACCUUCGGGCCUCUUGCCAUCGGAUGUGCCCAGAUGGGAUUAGCUAGUAGGUGGGGUAACGGCUCACCUAGGCGACGAUCCCUAGCUGGUCUGAGAGGAUGACCAGCCACACUGGAACUGAGACACGGUCCAGACUCCUACGGGAGGCAGCAGUGGGGAAUAUUGCACAAUGGGCGCAAGCCUGAUGCAGCCAUGCCGCGUGUAUGAAGAAGGCCUUCGGGUUGUAAAGUACUUUCAGCGGGGAGGAAGGGAGUAAAGUUAAUACCUUUGCUCAUUGACGUUACCCGCAGAAGAAGCACCGGCUAACUCCG
rnacentral:rRNA from 1 species